rnacentral:rRNA from 1 species
UACGUAGGGUGCGAGCGUUAAUCGGAAUUACUGGGCGUAAAGCGUGCGCAGGCGGUUUGUUAAGACAGGUGUGAAAUCCCCGGGCUUAACCUGGGAACUGCGCUUGUUACUGGCAAGCUGGAGUGUGGCAGAGGGGGGUGGAAUUCCACGUGUAGCAGUGAAAUGCGUAGAGAUGUGGAGGAACACCGAUGGCGAAGGCAGCCCCCUGGGCUAACACUGACGCUCAUGCACGAAAGCGUGGGGAGCAAACAGG